UCCAGAGUUAAGAUUGACUCUAGAGUCUAGACAAUGAAAUUAGAAAUAAGAUCUAAGGAGUCAUGAACCCUUCACUGCAUUUCUUUCCAAGUGAAAACUCUUUUGUCCCUUGGAAGUGCAGGGAAUGGGUGGGAAACUCUUUUGCUCAGAGGUGGUGGAUGAUAGUUUUGAUCCCAAGCAACUUCUGUUGGUGGUUGUCAUCACUCUUACACUCAUGGUCAUUUGUAUCCCACCACCACGACGGAGAGUUUUCGUUGUGCGUCGCUUGUUUUGAUAGACGAUGUCUCCUCUUCCAUCCUCAUCUUCUUUCCUUUCAGUUUCGCUGCGUUGAAUGAUCAUUGGGCAAUCACAGAUUCUAUCAGGGCCAUCCAUCUGAUUAAAGUAACAGCACACCAUGGUUGCAGAUGUAUUACAUUUUGAUAAUUAGGGUCCUUGUAAUCAACCCUAUUAAGUUGAAAUAAGACUGAAUUUAUUAUUUGA